UAACGUUGAGCUGUGAUGACGAGCUCGUAUGAGCGAAGUUCCUGAUUUCACGCUGCCAAGAAAAGCCUCUAUCGAGGUGAGAGGUGCCCGUACCGCAAACCGACACAGGUAGUCGAGGAGAGAAUCCUAAGGUGUGCGAGAGAACUCUCGUUAAGGAACUCGGCAAAAUGACCCCGUAACUUCGGGAGAAGGGGUGCUCUUUAAGGUGAAUAGCCAUGAAGAGCCGCAGUGAAUAGGCCCAGGCGACUGUUUAGCAAAAACACAGGUCUCUGCAAAACCGUAAGGUGACGUAUAGGGGCUGACGCCUGCCCGGUGCUGGAAGGUUAAGAGGAGUGGUUAGCGCAAGCGAAGCUGCGAAUUGAAGCCCCAGUAAACGGCGGCCGUAACUAUAACGGUCCUAAGGUAGCGAAAUUCCUUGUCGGGUAAGUUCCGACCCGCACGAAAGGCGUAACGAUCUGGGCACUGUCUCAACGAGAGACUCGGUGAAAUUAUAGUACCUGUGAAGAUGCAGGUUACCCGCGACAGGACGGAAAGACCCCGUGGAGCUUUACUGUAGCCUGAUAUUGAAUUUUGGUACAACUUGUACAGGAUAGGUAGGAGCCAGAGAUUCCGGAGCGCCAGCUUCGGAGGAGGCGUCAGUGGGAUACUACCCUGGUUGUAUUGAACUUCUAACCCAUACCCCUUAGCGGGGUAGGAGACAGUGUCAGGCGGACAGUUUGACUGGGGCGGUCGCCUCCUAAAGAGUAACGGAGGCGCCCAAAGGUUCCCUCAGAAUGGUUGGAAAUCAUUCGAAGAGUGUAAAGGCAUAAGGGAGCUUGACUGCGAGACCUACAAGUCGAGCAGGGUCGAAAGACGGGCUUAGUGAUCCGGUGGUUCCGCAUGGAAGGGCCAUCGCUCAACGGAUAAAAGCUACCCCGGGGAUAACAGGCUUAUCUCCCCCAAGAGUCCACAUCGACGGGGAGGUUUGGCACCUCGAUGUCGGCUCAUCGCAUCCUGGGGCUGUAGUCGGUCCCAAGGGUUGGGCUGUUCGCCCAUUAAAGCGGUACGCGAGCUGGGUUCAGAACGUCGUGAGACAGUUCGGUCCCUAUCCGUCGUGGGCGUAGGAAAUUUGAGAGGAGCUGUCCUUAGUACGAGAGGACCGGGAUGGACACACCGCUGGUGUACCAGUUGUUCUGCCAAGAGCAUCGCUGGGUAGCUAUGUGUGGACGGGAUAAGUGCUGAAAGCAUCUAAGCAUGAAGCCCCCCUCAAGAUGAGAUUUCCCAUUACGCAAGUAAGUAAGACCCCUGAAAGACGAUCAGGUAGAUAGGUUCGAGGUGGAAGUGUGGUGACACAUGGAGCUGACGAAUACUAAUCGGUCGAGGACUUAACCACAUUU
rnacentral:rRNA from 1 species